rnacentral:misc_RNA from 1 species
AAAAUAUUUUGUUAUUAAUGAACAGGACAUUAGGAAAUUGUCCGUACAUAAAUUAGUCCCACAUUGUAGGAGUUUUUAAUACACACACACACACACACACACACACACACACACACACACACACACACAAAUGCAAUAAUUUGCUGCUGAAACCAACAGUUCUUUAGGCUGUAAUCUUCGUUGAGGGAUCUGAUUGAUCUUGUUAUAAUCAUCCUUUGACAGUGCCCAGUCAAAUAUCUCCAAAUUUUCCUUCAGUCUCUCCUUUUUAUGGCUCUUAACUACAAGAGUAACUCCCUGUUCAUACACCCAUCUCAGACAAACCUGAGCAACAGUCUUUCCAUGAGCCUUUGCAAUCUCAUUUAGCACUUCAUUGUCCAUUACAGCAUUAGUGCCCCAGCGUGUCCCUUUUGCUCCCAGGGGAGAAUAAGCUGUCAAAACUAUACCUUUGGCCUUGCAGAGCUCUCUGAGCUUCUUUUGUUGCCAGACAGGACUCAUCUCCACUUGAUUUACUGAAGGAGGGAUUUUAGCCAAGGCAAGUAAGUCAUUGAGCUUCUUGCAAGAGAAGUUGCAGACUCCAAUGGUCUUUGUAAGGCCAAGCCGUUGGCACUCUUCCAUUGCUGCCCAUACAGACUUGAAGUCCAUUGGCAGAAGAGCUCAUCCUUAGGAAUUGGGAAUGAAGACCUUCCAGGCUUACAACUGAUAGGCCAGUGAAUGAGAUACAGGUCAAGGUACUCGAGUUGAAGAAUUCUGAGGGAAUUCUUGAGAGCAGUAAUUACAAGAUUUCCAUGAUUAUCGGCGAUCCACAACUUCGAAGUGAUAAACAGCUCCUCUCGAGAACCGAUGAGACCGCGUGCAAGCGCUUCAGAUAUGGCUUCUCCUAGUGGUUUCUCUGACCUGUAUGGUAGAGCAGUGUCGAAGUGCCUGUAACCCAGGUUGAUCGCCCCCAGGAUCGCCGUUUUCGUUGCGGCUUCAUCGAAGGGAUCGGCGGCUGUGCCCAUGCCUAAUACUGGCAUUUCCCGUUGGCCGGAAGAGUAAGUUAAAGAUACCUUCGGCAUUUCCAGUGCUUGGGCCAUUGCUUGGAACUUGGAGGUGGCCCUGUUUUUUAUUCCUCUUGUUUUUG